rfam:Candidatus Woesebacteria bacterium RIFCSPHIGHO2_02_FTLL_39_13 rifcsphigho2_02_scaffold_4702, whole genome shotgun sequence.
GAAAUUCCAAUUAAAAUUUCUAAUUCGGUUAGUUGUUAAAAUUGUUAAUUUUGUUGAUGGUUAAUUUGUUGAAUGUUCUAUCCUGCGGACAGACGCGAACGGCUGAGUAACACGUAAGGACUUGCCUCUUGGUGUGGAAUAGCCCAUCGAAAGAUGGGGUAAUACCGCAUGAGGCUCGUACUUCGUACGAGAUUUUCCAUUUUCGAAUUUAACAUUUUCCAUUGAAUUUUCGAUUGAUCAAUUUUUAAAUUGAAAAAUAAAAUGAUAGAUGGCAAAUGAUUAAAUGGACGAUUUCGCACGGAGUGCGAGUUAAAGGACGUAACUGUCCGCCGAGAGAGAGUCUUGCGGCCUAUCAGCUAGUUGGUAGGGUAACGGCCUACCAAGGCUACGACGGGUAGGGGGAGUGAGAGCUCGAACCCCCAGAAUGGCACUGAGAUACGGGCCAUACACCUACGGGUGGCGCAACCGGGAAUCGUGCGCAAUGGACGAAAGUCUGACGCCGCGACGCCGCGUGAAGGAUGAAGGCCUUCGGGUCGUAAACUUCUUUUGCCAAGCGGGAGACUUCUUGGCGAAUAAGCACCGGCUAACUCCGUGCCAGCAGCAGCGGUAAUACGGAGGGUGCUAGCGUUAUCCGGAUUUAUUGGGCGUAAAGAGUUCGUAGGCGCCCCGUCGCAUCUUGUUUUAAAUCCCAGGGCUUAACUCUGGAAAGGGACAAGAGAUGGACGGGGUUGAAAGGUUCCGGGGCUACUGGAACUCACGGUGUAGGAGUGAAAUCCGUUGAUAUCGUGAGGAACACCGAGGGCGAAGGCAGGUAGCUAGGAAACCUUUGACGCUGAGGAACGAAAGCUAGGGGAGCGAAAGGGAUUAGAGACCCCUGUAGUCCUAGCCGUAAACGAUGCUCGCUAGCGGUGUGCCCCGCAAAGGAUAUAUCCUUUGGAACUGUUAACUUUUAACAAAAUUGACAAAUUAACUAAGAGAUUUUUCCUCGUUAAUGGUUAACUGUUAAUUUGUUAAUUGUUCGCAAAAAAAUGGAUACAUUUUUUGUGGGGUGCGUCGCGUAAGCUAACGCGUUAAGCGAGCCGCCUGGGGAGUACGAACGCAAGUUUAAAACUCAAAGGAAUUGACGGGGACCCGCACAACCAGUGGAGCAUGUGGUUUAAUUCGAGACGAACCGAAGGACCUUACCCAGGUUUGACAUGCUAUCGUUUAGUUUUGCAGAAAUGUGAGACGAUCCGCAAUUUGUGGAUGAUAGCACAGGUGUUGCAUGGCUGUCGUCAGCUCGUGCCGUGGGGUGUUCCCUUCAGUGGGGUAACGAGCGCAACCCCUGUCGUAUGUUAAAUUUAUCAUACGAGACUACUCAAUUUAUUUGGGAGGAAGUGGGGACGACGUCAAGUCAGCAUGGCCCUUAUAUCUGGGGCGACACACAUGCUACAAUGAAGCCGACAAAGGGUUGCCAAGUGGUAACACGGAGCUAAUCCCAUCAAACGGCUUCUCAGUGGGGAUUGAGGGCUGAAACUCGCCCUCAUGAACGCGGAAUUGGUAGUAAUCGCAGAUCAGCUAAGCUGCGGUGAAUACGUUCUCGGGUCUUGUACACACCGCCCGUCAAGUCAGCAAAGUUGGGAGCACCCGAAGUCCGAUGGUUAUCGGACGAAGGUGAGACCAGCGAUGAGGAUUAAGUCGUAACAAGGUAUCCGUUCUGGAAGGAGCGGAUGGAUCACCUCCUUU